GCCUUCCUGCCUUGCUAGAAGCAAAAACUUCUCUCCCUGUAGUGAUCCAGCUGUUCUCUCUUUAUUUUUUAUUUAUUUAUUAUUUUUUUACAUAUUUUUUUAAAUUGGAGUUCAAUUUGCCAACAUAUAGCAUAACACCCAGUGCUCAUCCCAUCAAGUGCCCCCCUCAGUGCCCGUCUCUCUUUAAAUCUCAGGUGGGAUUGGUAGGUGCCCGGAGGCUUUGAGAGCAGGGUAGUAAGUUGGUGGGGCUGAGCACUGAGGACCCUACUCUUCGGCCACCUUGUCCCUCCCCUUCAAAGCUUUAGUUAUUUCACCUACUGAUGAUCUUGCAAAGCUGGAGACUUAGCUAGGAAGAUGUGAUUCCUACAGGGCAGAUAAUUUGUUGCAUCCCUUCCACGAUCUUUUUGUCCACUAUCUUGUUUUCUUUGUUUUCAUCAUAUAUUCCAAACAUAUUACAGUUUGGGCAACAAAUGUAUAUUUUCCUGUUUUUUUUUUUUUUUUUUGGUUUAAAUACUUUCAGAUGCUUUGAAAAAUAAUGCGACAUUGCACACAGAAUUCCUCACCAUGCCAUUGGCACUUUCGGUAUAUGCAUUUUUGAUCAUAAGUCACGUAGCAUUGUGCCAUUAUCUAACCUGCCUACUGCAGAACUCAGUGGUGGAAGUAAAAUGCUUCUGCAUAAUCAAAUGUUAUUUAAUAAGUGAUAUUACCUUAGGUCACCCCUUUGGUGUGAAACCCUUUUAUUUGAUGUGGGGACAAAAGAACUUCCGAGUGUCACCCCUGGCAUAUUUGCUUCUCCCUUGCAGGCCUAGCUGGGUUUUCUGUGCUGGCAAGCGAGGUCUAACAUGGAAUAUCCAGAAAUCACACUGCAGUUCCACCAUUCUUGAUGUCCUCCCAGCCUGUCAACCAUUGCUGCAGUUACGGACACCUGGAAAAAUUGAGGCUUGUGCUCACCAUCCGAGCAUCUCUGGAAAAUGAGUGAGUGUGAACCCAAUUUGUUGUGCUGGGUGGGACGGUUAAGGGUCGGCAUUACUAUAUGGCUGAUGGCCAUGUUUAAGGGUCUGGUGGUCCAGUUCCUUGUGCAGACUAUGGGCCCUUUGGGCAAAGUGCUUCUGUCUCCACUUCCAGUAAUCUGUCCUGCCAGGUAAACUGAAGCCAUCUUUGACCCCAUAAUGGUAAUUAGAGAUCACAGCAUGAAAUAUCAGUGCUUAAUAAUGAUAACUAGAAGGUGUUCAUUGGCACAUACAAACCUCAGGAUGGCAGGAUGGCGGUAAAAUGCCCAACAUUUUUGGUCCUAAAUGUGUUGCUAUUUUAAACAAAGAAAGGAAACUGAUGGCAAUAAGAUAUCUCCUGAGACAUGGAUGCUUCUCUGGCUCCCCAUUUUACCCAUUAAGGACAAGAUUUGCUAGUCAUCUAGCAGUAACCGACUAGUUUUCUUUCACAGUUUAAAGUCAUCAGCGAGGGUAAGGUGAACAAAAUGAACCAAAACGAACCAAAAUGAACCAAAACGAACCAAAAUGAACCACUGGUUUCCAAUUCAACUAGGAUACCUUCUUGGUGUCUUUCUAAUACAUUCUACAUCACAGUAGAAUGUGUCUACCCUAACACAUUGUUUAAGAUUUCUUUAUUCUUGAUCUUUUAAUCAUGAUCUGGAUUCAGUUAUACCAUCAUGAAAUACACACCAUUUAUCGAACACUUACUCUGUAUCAGGUAUUGGGUCAAGUCCCACAAAUGUAUUUUCUUAUUCAUUCUUUCCACAACGUCUAAGGUAGAUUCUAGUUUUAUUCCCAUUUUACAUGAGAAAAUUGAAGCUUAGAGUUCUCAGUGAUUUGCUUAAUUUAACAUUAUGCGUUUAACUAUUACACUGUACUUCUCCAGACGAACCAUGCAGUCUGGCUACCCAAACUCAGGAUCUCUUCACAGACAUGGUUAUCUUUGUUUCUUGACACUAAUAUCUGUGAGCCAGAGUUGCAGCUGUAGGCGAUGGCAGGUACAACUCAAGAACUAGAGCUCAUUUGCCUCCGUUUUUAUCCAAAAGUCGCAGAAGCAGGUGGGUGGGGUUCAUGCUAUUUCCAGCCUCUAAGUAAGUACUGAUGAACCAUUCUCAAAGAAAUGAUGCAGAGCCCUUUGCUGUGGUGUCUUUUGGGCAAGAUAUGGAUUUGAGCCAAAAUGCCUUCUGUUUCUCUGUCAGAUGUACAAAAAUAAAGGAUAUAUGGAAAAUAAAACA
rnacentral:lncRNA from 1 species